rnacentral:rRNA from 1 species
AUUGAACGCUGGCGGCAUGCUUUACACAUGCAAGUCGAACGGCAGCGCGGGCUUCGGCCUGGCGGCGAGUGGCGAACGGGUGAGUAAUGCAUCGGAACGUGCCCAGUAGUGGGGGAUAGCCCGGCGAAAGCCGGAUUAAUACCGCAUACGACCUGAGGGUGCAAGCGGGGGACCGAAAGGCCUCGCGCUAUUGGAGCGGCCGAUGUCGGAUUAGCUAGUUGGUGGGGUAAAGGCUUACCAAGGCGACGAUCCGUAGCUGGUCUGAGAGGACGAGCAGCCACACUGGGACUGAGACACGGCCCAGACUCCUACGGGAGGCAGCAGUGGGGAAUGUUGGACAAUGGGGGCAACCCUGAUCCAGCCAGGCCGCGUGCGGGAAGAAGGCCUUCGGGUUGUAAACCGCUUUUGUUCGGGAAGAAAUCCUCUGGGCUAAUACCCCGGGGGGAUGACGGUACCGGAAGAAUAAGCACCGGCUAACUACGUG